rnacentral:misc_RNA from 1 species
AAGGCGAUCAGGAUUUCAAGAGCAGGACAGGCAGAAUCCAGAAGGCGAUUAUGUGAUAUAUAAACCAUUACAUGGUUCGCGUUUAAUUGAGGUGCUAUCACUGCUUCCUGAACGCAAAUGCAGCUUCUCAAACCGUGUAAUAGGAUCAACAGUUGGAGAAAUCCACACAUCCGAAGAUCCUGAGCAAAAGGGUACAUCCCAAUGUAGCUUCUCCAAGUGUGUGAUGGGAUCAACAGUUGAAGGAGUCCACCUCUCAGAUGAUCCUGAACACAAGGCUACAUCCCAGUGCAGCAUCUCACAGUGUGUAAUGGAAUCAACAGCUCAAGAAAUCAACACUGAAGAUCUGAAUCUUUUGAAUCGUUCCAACUCAUCAGCAUCUCAUACCAGCUCACUCCAGCAGAUAGUGAUACAUAAACAGAGAGAUAACAAACCAUUGGAUGGGAAGAGGAUUCUAGUUGUUGAAGACAAUGAUUUAUUGAGGCGGUUGACUGCAACUAGUCUCUGCAAACUUGGAGCAAAUGUUGAAAGAUCAACCAAUGGAGAAGAGGCUCUAAAUCAAGUCUGUAAAGCUUUGAGUGAUCAAAAGAAGGAAGGGGAUUCAAAAUCUCUCCCUUA